AAGCUGUAACAGUUUAGGCUGUGGCCACUGAGGGAAGACUUUAAGUUAACCUCUGUAGUGACCAUGUGGAAGCCCUGACCUUGCUUGCAGACUUGACCUCUGGAUAUGACAAGGUAGCUUCAACACAGAUCGACCAAUUAAUCCUGGAAAUUAAAAAAUCAAAAACAAAACAAAACUCAAAACAAGAAAGCGCAUGAAAAGAAGUGCUGAAUCAGCGAAUAGAGUGAAGGAACAAUCAAGAAGAGAUGGCUGCUGCUGUGACUCUCUAGGUCAUUACCUCUCCUGCUGCAAAUGCUGCAUGACACUAAGCUUACAGGAUUGAGAAGCAACUACAAAAUAAGAAGAAAUUCAAUUUGAAGACUGGAGAAACAUUAGGUUGAUCUUACGAAUUUCUGAAAUGCACUCUGUAAACACCACUGAUUCCAUUUAACUCUUGCAAAAGGAACCGAACCAAGACAAAGAUGAAAAAAAUAUUUAGCAGUAUCUAAAUCUACCAAGACCAGGGAAGCAUAAAUGACACUAAUGCAUGCUUGCAGGUAAAUCUAUUAAAUAAUUUAAUCAUCAGUAGUCGCUACAAAUGACCAGCCUUUGCUCUAUACUAAUAAGCUGAAUAUUAUACUAACUGGGUAUACAAAACAUUUUAUGUUUCUACAGCAACAACUUAGUGAUAAACCUACUCAGAGUACAUACUUCUUUAUGUACCCAUAUGAACAUAGAAUGCUAUGGAAUGUAAAGAAGUAUGUACUUUUGGUAGGUGAUAAACUACCAAGUGGGAAACAGAUAUCUGACAGCGAAAGAAAACCCUGCUUCACUUGAUGUGAAUGAAUUUAGUAGGACUGUUGCCAAUACUAACACCACAAAAAUAUAACCACUUCUUAAAGUAGAAAAAACUAAAUGUCGUUAAGCUAUAUAAUUUGUAGAGAAAAGUUGAAAAUUUAAAACUGCCAUGAAAUUCCUUUUAAAUCUUGAGUUUAUAUUUCACAUUUUAAAAUUUAAUUACUUGCAUAAAUAAAAUCAAACUACCAAAAAUAAAAACAAAACUAUCACUAGCACAAAAAAAUGAAAGAUACAUAGGGUCUAUUUCCAAUCUCCAAAAUUUGAUCUUAGUUUAAAAUUUAUCAGGUCAUGCUGAUUUCAGAAAAACAAGAUAUAAAGCUGACUCAACUUACAUUACAUUCAUAUUUUGACAAAUUUAUAAUUUACUAAUAUUAGAGAUACUUCUGAAGAAAGUUUUUUUUUCAAUUUUUAUUAGUGAAACACCAUGAGAUACAGUUGUAGACUUACAAAAUUUUGUGCUUGGGUUUCAGUUAUACAAUGAUCGAGAAUCUUUCCUCCACCAGUGCCCAUUCUCCACCACCUAAGAUCCCAGCAUAAAGUUUUUUUUCUGUUAGGAAGAAAUUACUUACAUAGUCAUAAUCCUAAAAGAUAAUCUAGUUAAGUAAAAUUCUAAUCUCAAUAAAGUAGAUUCUGUCCUUUAAAGCAGAUUCAAAUUUACAGGUCCUCAACCCAGUCUUCACUGUAAAUGCUAAAUUGGCGCUUAGAAUAAACUAGGACUUAGAUUUAUGCAUGAAUCACAACAAAAUUCUGGAUUACAACUGUAAUCCUACCAGAUAUACUGUUAAUUGAUAAGUGUUUUAUGUAUUUUCAAUUAUAUUACCCUUGCAUUUGCUUUCUCCAAAGGAAGCAUAUAAAUUAAAAGCUCUAUAAUUAAAUUUAUAUAGAAUAAAGUAUAUUUAAUUGGUACUAUGUAACUAUAACCCGGUGUUUAUAAACACUAUAGACCUAUUACAUUUAAUAUAAAAAUAUAAUUUGUAUACAAUUUUUAUAUAUUAAAAAUAUCAAAGAUCUUAGCAAUAAUGUAAAACCAAUACUUGCUUUAAGCUUCUAUGACAAAAAAGAAAUACUAAUAUAAAGUGAUAUAUUAAAUUUUUCUUGAAAGUGUAAAAUAUUUAGAUAUGUAUAGAAACAUGGUAAUAUUUUUAACUUGGGUUACAUGUUGAACAGAAAUAGCUGUAAAUUUAACUGUAAGACCAGUUAAUUGUCUAAAAUAAUUUUUAUUUUAUAGUCAUAUUAUAAAGAGUAAUCAACGAUGAUUUCAUAUGGUGCACACAAAAAUUACUGCAUUAUUAAUGGGAAUUCUAAAAUUCUCGUGAUUUUACAAUUCUAUAGUUUCUGAGAAAAAAAGUCAAUCAAUAGCCCUUCCUGGGUGAUAGCUCUACAGAACGAAGUGCAUGCCUAGCUCAGCAAAAUCCUGAGUUCGAUCUGUCGUAUUGUAUGUCUCUACUCAGCACUACCAAAGAGGCCUCCCAAAAAACAAUAACCCUUUUUUCUAGUCACUCACAAAUAGGAUCACAAUGCUUCAUAUUCCAUUUGUCAUGCUAAACUACGUGUGUCUUCAGUAUAAAAAACUGGAGAUAUAUAUAAAAAUCACAAGUUCCUCUGUAGAAUACUCGCAUAUUACUGUAUUUAUAUUUUAUAAUGAUAAAUUAUACUUGUUAUUCCACAGAAACAGAAGCUUUAAUAACUGCUUUAGUAAUGAUUUUAAGACACUUCAGCAACUAAGAAUAUUUCAUAUAAAUAUCUUUCAUUUAUUUUCUUAAAAUUAUAAAAAUUUUCUUCUAUUUAUAAGAAAAUAUAAUCCUUAGAAAACAAAUGACAGCAUCUGUUACUUUUUUUCAGAAGUGAAAUUAUAUACUGAUUCUGGUGCUUAUAAGAUUAGCUUAACAUAUCUAAGAGUAUUUUCAAUCACUAUAAAAUGUCACAUCCAUCACUUAGAUCAGCUGUUCAUUUUUAACUGAGUACAUAUUAAACUCUGGGCAUCUGCUGACACUGGUGUAACUCAAACAUUUCAACUGUCUCCUUGACAGGGAUAACAGAUGCUGACAUUAUCAAAUGCUGCACUGUUUUUUUUCCAUGGCCUCUCCUUGCCCCGAUAUGGCCAGUAUAUGAAACUGAACUGCCAUCCAAAGCACACUUGAGCAACUGGAUCUGUUAAACAGCUUCAUAUAACUAGUAAAAAUAGAAGCCCAUUUUAUUGCUAUCUUCAGCACUUAAGUCCAGGCAAUUUAACACCUGUUUAAUAUCUAUUAGAAUAAAUGAUGAAAAGAACUCUAGUUAAAUUAAUUUCACCAGCAGUAGGGCACUUAGCAAACAACAGAUGCAGAAUAUACUUAAUAUAGGAAUUGUAUGCAUGCUGCAUAAAUUAAUGCCGGCCACAUUCCAGUUUAGUGCAGAACAGUACCUACUGCUUUACUCUUUAUUUCACCAAAAGCACCUGUUUUAUAGCAAAACUAUGUCUCAGAUGCUUAUUUUAUGCAAUGUCUUUCAGAAGACAUCCUCCUCCAAUACUGAAAUCUAACACCGGAAUCACACUAUAAAAACAAAUUUUUAAAAAAUUAUUUUAUUUUGAAGGGCUACUUUGUAAAUUUUUCAAAAAUGUAACAUUAUAUAAAAUUACACUAGAAAUUGAAUUACCUUCCGUGUGACUGGUACUUAAGUUUACAUAAUUUCCAUUUUUAUAAAUGCAAAGCAUGCACUCUACCACUGAACUACAAUUCCAGCCUCUCUCUGCUGCACUGAGUUCUAAUGUCUGAAUCACAUGGUAAAUUUUAAUAUCCAAAUUUUUAUUUGCAUUUAACUAACACACAUCAAUGCACCCUGAGGUUGACAAUGGGAAGUAACUAAGAAAUCUGUACCCAAAGGACAAAAAAAGGAAACAUCUUUGAAAGGGUUAAGUUACUAACCAUUAGUAACAACAGUCCAUAAGCAAAAAGAAAGAAAAAUAAGUUGGUGUGCACAAUUAUACCUUUCCACAUAAAUCCAAGCAAGAUGCCAACCAAAUCUAUUUAUAAAUCAAAGGGCAGAGGCACUUUCUUAAGGCCACUCAUAUUCCUCUACUCUGUCAGCAAUUUGUAAUUAGUCCUCAAGUAAAAUAUUUUUAAAAAAAAAAAAGCAGCGUCAGACGAAAGGUGUGAAUAGCAUUACUCGUUCCUAACCUAACAGCUUAUUUACUUGUUUACACCACAGAAAUAGAAAAUAUUAUUCUAAAUUAAGUUCCUUUAAAUGCUAUUGGCUUUGAAACAAGUAAAUGUCUACAUUUAAGAACAAAGAUAAUAUAUUGGUAAAAAAUUCCACAUUAAUACUGCAGAAAAUUGUAAAAAGGUGUCAUGAAAAAGGGAAAUUUUACAUUCAUUGACAAGUACAAAUAAGAGAAUCUGUAAUAUCUGUAGAAGGUCCAUAACCAUAAUUAUAUAAAUUGAAAGCAUUUUAACUGUUUUGAAUCCUAAAGUAGCACUGCAAUGCUUUGCUAGAGCUGGUAAAAUGGAACCAAAUCGCCUCUUCAAUGGAUUUGGUCCCCUUCAACCAGCUGUAGCUAUGCAUUGAUUACUACUGGACAGUCAAUGUUUCUUUUCUAAAUAUCAAUGUCAAAUUAUUUAAAUUAUUCAGAUUGUGGUAAAAAUCUAUGUUAGUGUUAAUUUAUCUGGAAGAGUUAAAGUGGUUAAAGUUGUUUAUUAAAAACUGCAAAAAUGUGUGGAUGACUUAAGGAUUUCAAAUAAAGUGUUUUUACUUA